rnacentral:rRNA from 1 species
AUUGAACGCUGGCGGAAUGCUUUACACAUGCAAGUCGAACGGUAGAGGGGGCAACCCCUCGAGAGUGGCGAACGGGUGAGUAAUAUAUCGGAACGUGCCCAGUCGUGGGGGAUAACGUAGCGAAAGUUACGCUAAUACCGCAUACGAUCUAAGGAUGAAAGCGGGGGAUCGCAAGACCUCGCGCGAUUGGAGCGGCCGAUAUCAGAUUAGGUAGUUGGUGGGGUAAAGGCUCACCAAGCCAAUGAUCUGUAGCUGGUCUGAGAGGACGACCAGCCACACUGGAACUGAGACACGGUCCAGACUCCUACGGGAGGCAGCAGUGGGGAAUUUUGGACAAUGGACGCAAGUCUGAUCCAGCCAUUCCGCGUGCAGGAUGAAGGCCCUCGGGUUGUAAACUGCUUUUGUACGGAACGAAAAGGUCUCUCUUAAUACGGGGGACUCAUGACGGUACCGUAAGAAUAAGCACCGGCUAACUACGUGCCAGCCGCCGCUGUAA